rnacentral:rRNA from 1 species
AUUGAACGCUGGCGGCAUGCCUUACACAUGCAAGUCGAACGGCAGCACGGGGCAACCUGGUGGCGAGUGGCGAACGGGUGAGUAAUGCAUCGGAACGUGCCAUUGAGUGGGGGAUAACGUAGCGAAAGUUGCGCUAAUACCGCAUAUUCUGUGAGCAGGAAAGCAGGGGACCGCAAGGCCUUGCGCUCUUUGAGCGGCCGAUGUCAGAUUAGCUAGUUGGUGAGGUAACGGCUUACCAAGGCGACGAUCUGUAGCGGGUCUGAGAGGAUGAUCCGCCACACUGGAACUGAGACACGGUCCAGACUCCUACGGGAGGCAGCAGUGGGGAAUUUUGGACAAUGGGCGCAAGCCUGAUCCAGCCAUGCCGCGUGAGUGAAGAAGGCCCUCGGGUUGUAAAGCUCUUUCGGUCAGGAAGAAGGGCUUAGUGGCUAAUAUCCACUAGGUUUGACGGUACUGAAAUAAGAAGCACCGGCUAAUUCCGU